CUUCUUUUCUCUUCACAAUCCAGUUUGGUUUCGCUUUAAGAUGGGGCAGAAGUUGAAAGAAAUUGUCCAGAAAAUAGAUGAAAUCGCAGCUGAGAGAAUUAGAUUUGGUUUCACGGUCACAACCCAACCACAAAACAGGGAUAGGCCACAAACCCACUCGUAUGUUGAUGAGUCAAAUGUCAUUGGUAGGGAGGAAGAUAAAGAAAAUAUAGUGAAGUUGUUACUUGAUCAUGAUCGCAACCAGAAUGUUGCCGUCUUCCCCAUAGUUGGUAUGGGUGGACUGGGAAAGACCACACUGGCCCAAUUGAUUUACAAAGAUGAGAGGGUGGAGAAGCAUUUCAAACCGCUCAUAUGGGUCUGUGUGUCAGAUGUGUUCGAUAUUGCAGUACUUGCCAAGGCAAUAAUAGCUUCAGCGAUAGGUACUGAGUGUGAGCUAUCAAACAUGGAGUUGUUACAACGCCGCCUUCGAGAAGUUGUAAGUGGAAAAAGGUACUUACUUGUAUUAGAUGAUGUUUGGAACGAGGAUCAGGCAAAGUGGGAUGAGUUAAAAACUUUACUAGGAACCGGUGGAGAAGGGAGCAGGAUCAUUGUGACCGCACGAAAUAAGCAUGUAUCAUCGAUAAUGGGCACAUUCGAUGCGUAUCUUUUAAAAGGUUUGACUGAGGAUGAUUCUUGGACAUUGUUUAGGAAGAGAGCAUUUGAAAAGGGAGCAGAAGUGCCUCCAACUCUGGCAAAAAUUGGCAAGGAGAUUGUCAAGAAAUGUGUUGGGCUGCCUCUAGCAGUGAAGACAUUAGGGAGCUUAAUGCAUUCCAAGAGUCAGGAAAAGGAAUGGUUGUCUGUGAGGGACAGCGAGAUUUGGGAUAUGCAGGGUGGUGAAGAUGGGAUCUUACCAGCACUAAGGUUGAGCUACAGUCAUUUGUCUUCCCAUUUAAAACAAUGCUUUGCUUUUUGUGCCAUAUUUCCGAAGGAUUAUGAAAUGGAAAGGGAUAUGUUGAUUCAACUAUGGAUGGCCAAUGGAUUCAUUCCAUCUGGUGGAAGAAAGGAGUUGGAGGACAAGGGGCAUGAGAUUUUUAAUGAGUUGGCUUCGAGAUCUUUCUUUCAGGAUAUCAAGGAAGUUGCGGGAAAUGCGGGGUACUACGGAUUUUAUGGAUCCACGGGUGAACUUUAUCGCACAACUUGCAAGAUGCACGACCUCAUGCACGACCUGGCACAAUCCAUUACGGGGAAUGAAUGCCUCAGCGUAGUGGACCCUGCCACGUUGGAAGAUGUGUCUAAGAAAACCCGUCACUUGGGCACAUCUGGGCGUUUCACAUUGAACAUCCAUAGGACCUUGAAUGCUUCUCCAAAUAUUCGUACUCUCCUGUCCUCAUUAUCAACGGAAUGGAGUAAUCGUAUUAUGGUGACUGCAGAUUCAUCAAAACCUAGGUCAUUGAGAGCAUUGGGUCUACAUCAAUAUGAUAUGAGACGAUUGCCUAUUUCAAUUGGAUUUCUGAAACACCUAAGAUACCUGGACCUCUCUUGUACUGGUGUAGAAGCAUUACCUGAUGCCACCACCACACUUCUCAAUCUACAAACUCUGAAACUCUCCGACUGCAGGAAACUACGUAAGCUGCCCGAAGACAUGAGAAAUAUGAGUAGCCUGAGGCAUCUCUACAUUGACAGAUGUGAUAAUCUGAAGCAGCUGCCAGCAGGUAUAGGGCAAUUAAGCAGCCUGCGAACAUUGACGAAAUACAUUGUAGGCAAUGAUGCUGGAAGACAUAUAGAUGAGUUGAAGAGCUUAGAUCUCGGUGGCCUUCUGGAGCUGUAUAACCUGAGGAAUGUGAGGGAUGCAGCAGAUGCUAAAUAUGCUAAUCUCAGUUCCAAACAUAACCUUCGCUCAUUAAUAUUAUGCUGGGAUAUAAUAAAGUGGGAUGCCUCUGAUUGUUAUGAAAAAAGCGCCCGUGAUGAUUGCGAAGAAGUUUUGCCAGCAAAAAAUGCUGAAGAGGUGUUGGAAGCCCUUAGACCUCCUGGUGGCUUAAAGCUGCUGGCAAUAUGGCGCUAUGGGGGAGACAGAUUUCCAGCGUGGAUGAUGGACUUGCGGCAGUUAGUUGAAAUCCAUCUUGGAGUUUGCACAGGUAGCGAACAUCUCCCCCCUUUAUGGCAGCUGCCCUUACUUAAAUUUCUUUACUUGAUUAAGAUGAAUAGCGUCAAGCACAUAUGCAGCAGCACCAUCUACGACAAUGCGAGUAAUGGCAAAGUGCAAGCAUUUCCCUCACUGACGACACUGGUGUUGCACACAAUGCAGGGCUUGAAGGAGUGGUCAGAGGAUGAAAAAACUGCAGAGGUCAUGCUGGUUUUCCCUCACCUUGCUGAGCUUAAGAUCAUUGAUUGCCCAAAUUUGAUGACCAUACCAGAGCUACCAUCUCUCAAAAGUUUAAAAAUGAAAGGAACGAAUAAGCAAUUGGGCUUGCUUUUUGGUCUGACCGCACUAUCUUCCCUUGACAUUGAACUCGAUAAAACGAGCAAUGGCACAGAGUCUCCUCCUCUUGCUCAGGAAAAAAUGUCUUUCAGGGAUUUUAGAUCUCUUGAAAAUUUAAUUAUCACGGCAUCUGAGGAUCUGGCACCAUUGCUGAAGGAGGAGGAGGAGACGAAGGGGCUGCGUUCAUCCCUGCAUAAUUUGAACAUUCAACAGUGCAAUUGGUUGUUUUCAUCAUCGCAGCAGGCAUCAUCACCUUUGGGGUUUUGGAAGAACCUAACUUCCCUCCAAUCUUUAAAUAUCCUUCAUUGUAAUGAUCUAGUCUACUGGCCGGAGGAGUUCCGUGGCUUGAACUCACUGAAGAGUUUACUAAUCGUGAGUUGCUCUAACUUGGUUGGCCCAUUAUCCUCGCCAUCAUCAGGGGAUGGAGAGCUCCUACCAAACCUGGAAGAGCUGAAUGUCUGCCGCUGUGAUGUUCUGCUGGAAUUGCCCAAGUUGCCUGCUACCCUCAGAUCGUUGUAUGUUCAGUACUGCCCCAAAUUCAAUUCCAUGACGGAAGGCCUGCGACAUUCCACCGCCGUCGACUACAUAUACAUUACUGGCUGUCCAAAUCUGACGUCUCUGCCGGAAGGGUUUGGGCAGCUCACCGCACUCAAGGAUCUGAUAAUCGAGGGUUGCAUCAAUUUGUCAUAUCUGCCGCAAGGGAUGCAGGGCCUCACGGCACUGAAGGGGCUGACUAUUGUUGAAUGCCCUCGGCUGUCAUCACUACCCGAAGGUCUCCAACAACGACUCCCCGGCCUUCAGCGUCUGAGAAUUGAGGGGUGCCCCAACCUAGAGAGACAAUAUGCGAAAGGAGGCCGGUAUUGGGACCUGAUCUCACACAUCUCCGAUACCGGAACACUAUCUGAGAUUAGGAGCAACUUCAGCACAUUCCCUCCUUCCUUUUCUUGCUUUUGAAGACCAUCUACAGUUCAAUAUCAUCCAGUCCUUUUUAGGUACAAUCCUCUCUCUCAAAUAAAAUGGAAAUUAGUGAGUGUAAUUAUUUAUCUUCCCUCACAUUCUUGUUCCUGUUGAAGGAAUCUGAGCGCGAUCAGUUAGCGCAUGCUCACUAAAGCAGACCGUAAUGGUAACCAAUGGCAUCAUCCUGAGAUACUUGCCAAAGUACACUGUUCACAUAAACUAUCAUGCACCAAUUGAUGAUUCUCACAAGUAUUCUUCUGAGAUUGGAGCUAUGCAAGAUGAACCGGAAAUUUCGCUUCAAGAUGGACAAAGAGCGUUCAUAGUACAAGCAGCUUUCUUGUUAAUCAUUCAACGUCGAACUUCUUGCUGUUGUCGGUCUAGCGUAAGAAGAAGUAACAUAUUAUGCAUUGGAUAAGUUUGCCAGAGAUUUCCAAAUCUUCAAUAGUCAAGUGACUUCAUAUGAAUUCUUUUUUUUUUUUUUUUGAGUAAAUGGGGACCAUUGCAUUUUAAGUAAAAGGAGGCUUCAUGCGAAUCUUAUUCAUAGUUUUGAUUUGGUUGUUGUUAAGCACUCAAAGGGACAUCAGGGAGAGAUAAGCUUAAUUCUCUUUUAGCAGAAGUCAUUUGGCAUUUAAUGUUAUGUUGAUUAUUUUCUCUCAACCUUAUUUUAUUCGACAUCCUUCGAUAUAUAAACAUAGUAUUUCAAGUCUUUGAAGAGUGCUUCUGCUUCAUGUAUUAAAAUUAAUUGAAAGAUGGAGAUGUUUAUUAAUUAUUUAA